rnacentral:rRNA from 1 species
AACGAACGCUGGCGGCAUGCCUAACACAUGCAAGUCGAACGAGACCUUCGGGUCUAGUGGCGCACGGGUGCGUAACGCGUGGGAAUCUGCCCUUGGGUUCGGAAUAACAGUUGGAAACGACUGCUAAUACCGGAUGAUGACGUAAGUCCAAAGAUUUAUCGCCCAGGGAUGAGCCCGCGUAGGAUUAGCUAGUUGGUGGGGUAAAGUCCUACCAAGGCGACGAUCCUUAGCUGGUCUGAGAGGAUGAUCAGCCACACUGGGACUGAGACACGGCCCAGACUCCUACGGGAGGCAGCAGUGGGGAAUAUUGGACAAUGGGCGAAAGCCUGAUCCAGCAAUGCCGCGUGAGUGAUGAAGGCCUUAGGGUUGUAAAGCUCUUUUACCCGGGAUGAUAAUGACAGUACCGGGAGAAUAAGCCCCGGCUAACUCCGUG